UACGGGGGGGGCAAGCGUUGUUCGGAAUUACUGGGCGUAAAGGGCUCGUAGGCGGCCAACUAAGUCCGACGUGAAAUCCCAAGGCUUAACCUUGGAACUGCGUCGGAUACUGGAUGGCUUGAAUUCGGGAGAGGGAUGCAGAAUUCCAGGUGUAGCGGUGAAAUGCGUAGAUAUCUGGAGGAACACCGGUGGCGAAGGCGGCAUCCUGGACCGACACUGACGCUGAGGAGCGAAAGCCAGGGGAGCAAAGCGGG
rnacentral:rRNA from 1 species